GUGAUAGAUUGGACAAUGAAUCUGUUGUGCAUAUUGGGUCAACCUCUUAUGAAGUGAUAAAUCCUUUCAUGUUAAACAGCUAUUUUGAUUAUGGGAUAGAACAAAUUGAAAUUGUUUUUGUUCCUAGAAUCACCAGUACCACUUCUCUUGAGGAAAAGAGAGGAGACAAUCUGUGGGUUCUCUUAAAGCAUCAGCUCAAUAGGAGUCAUCAACCAUGCAGAAGAUGUUGAAGUGCCAUUGGUUUUGCAUUGAAACUUGCUCUUUCAACUCAGAAAAUCCAGAAAGAAAGCAUGGACUAUCUAGCUUCAUUUAGGGUUGAGCUAAAAGAUAAUUAUUGUUUAUG